UGACAACUUUUUAUUAUUAUGUCUUCACUUUUCUGUCGGUGUAUUCUCUUCCCUAUGUUAUUGUCUUUUCCUAUUCCUCUUCUUCUUCAAAAGCGUCGAUCCGAAGACAAAAUACAGAUUUUUGAAUCCUUUCUUUUGAUCUUAGAUCCGAUCUUAUAUUGUUCCUGUAAGUAUACUCUUUUUGAUUCAGGAUCGACAUCUUCUAAUCUAUAAAGGAGUAGAUUACCAUAAUCUUAUUUUGUGAUGGCAAAGUCUACGGAUCUUAUUCCUAAUCUGUCGACAGAUAAUAGUAACUGAUCGUAAAGAGAACAUAUAUUAGAAGGAACAAUAAGACAACCCCUGAAAAUAAGACAACCCCUGAAAAGAUAAGUCCACUUCUCUAUCUCUAUGCUAUAUAUAAUUGUUAAGCUAUGAAUGUGUUAUUUUGGUAGAAUGUUAUUUAAAGAAAACAAUUUGGAAAUAGAUGUUUUUGGUAAAAAAUAAUAAAAAUAUAUGGUUAUAUUGUUUAGUUUGAUGAUAUCACAUGUUUAGUUUGAUGAUAUAACAUGUUUAGUUUGAUGUUUGUUGGUAAAAAAGAAUACAAAUAGAUUAUCUUUCUUUGGAUAGUGAACAGUAGGACUUAUUUCUUUCAUUCUUACUAAUCGUUGUUGUUUAAUAUUAUAUAUACAUAAACUUUGUUUCAGGUACUUGAGUUACCCAAAGCAGAAAAUGUAGGCGUACCCGAAGCAGAAUAAAUAUCUUGGCCACAGUCAUCAAAUGCAGAAUAAUAAGGUUCAACUUCCACAAAAAUAUUCCCUUGAGAAGGUCCCUCAAUACCAGAAGAUACAGGAUAGUUUGUGUAUAGCAUGGGGUAACAAAUGUUCGGAGGGCAUACUGAAAGGGAUUCCAAUUACAAUAUGGCUCAAUCGUCAUUUUUCAGAGAGGAUUCGGUGACGUUGGAGCUAUUUAUGAUCGACAGCUUGAAUCCAUGGCUAGUCGGUCGGUACUUUCCAGCAGUUGGGGUCACUGAGAAAUUCUCAAUGAACCUCCACUGUCCAACGUGCAGUUUCUUAACACGACCAAGGAAGACUCUUUUGCAGUAUGAAGUGAAGAGAGUCUCCACCAGGGUAAUUCGAAUGUUGAGUCCAUGAAUGUAGUACUUUUACUUCAAUCUUCCAAGUUGUUUUAAAUGGUUUGACAUUUUUCAACAACGUUAUUCCGUCGGAUGUAACCAUAGCCAUUUGGGAGUUUUGUUUGUCGAGAUGUGAUGAAAAGAUUAGGUGAUGGAAGCCUUUUUAUAGUGGAAGCAUCGAGAGCAUAUUCUGAAUCUGAUAUUUUAAAUUUUAUACGGUUGUAUCGAUAGGGAUUAGGAUAUAAUUUUGUUAAGAUUUAGAAGAUAUAUCAUAAUAUUUCUGUUAUAAUCUUUUAAUUGAUUUAAAGUUUGAUAUUAUCUGGCUUUUUCACAUCGAUUAUUAUCUUGAUAAAAUAUAGGUUAGUUGAGAUUUUAAACAUUUAAGUAGUAGAAUAUUCUCAUCUAAUAUUAUCAUGCGAUAUUAUCUUCACAAAAAUAUAGGUAAUUGGAUUUUAAACUUCUAUUUUCUGUCUAACAGUGGUUUAUUGUUGUUUAUUAGGAAAAUCGGGUCGAUGGAGUGUAUACCAAGUCCUGUAAACCAAUGAUAAAGGUCCAAAA